CGGGCUGUGGCGCAGCCUGGUAGCGCGCUUGCUUGGGGUGCAAGAGGUCCCGGGUUCGAAUCCCGGCAGCCCGACCA
rnacentral:tRNA from 1 species